rnacentral:rRNA from 1 species
UACGGGGGGAGCAAGCGUUGUUCGGAAUCACUGGGCGUAAAGGGCGUGUAGGCGGUUCGGUAAGUGGGAUGUGAAAUCCCUCGGCUCACCCGAGGACCUGCAUCCCAUACUGCUGAGCUUGAGUACAGGAGAGGGUGGGGGAAUUCCUGGUGUAGCGGUGAAAUGCGUAGAUAUCAGGAGGAACACCGGUGGCGAAGGCGGUUCUCUGGGCAUGAUCUGACGCUGAGGAGCGAAAGUGUGGGGAGCGAACAGG